rnacentral:lncRNA from 1 species
UGGCCGUGACUGCUCCCACGGCAGUCAGUGAGCUCCCACUGAUGUUGCCAAUCAGGGAUCUUUUGCGAAGCUUGUUGAUUUUACGAGCUGCCUUGUGAAGGUGAGCAAUGUGACCCCGCAGCCUCCGUCGCUGAUCCAGCAGCGCUACGUGGAAGUGAUGCGUGGGGUCUGGCGUCUGGGGACGGGCAGCGCCGUUCCUCUCCAUGGCCUCUGUCUUCAGUUUCUGGCUGACCUCCCCACAGACGUGUCUUGGUCUGUUUCUGGAGGAGACCAAUUUAUAGCUCCCGUGGACCAAUUGCUGCAAUGGGAAUGCUUUGCCUCAUACUGGGAGUUUGCCAUUUCCUGCUCUCCCUUGUGCAGACGGAUGUGACACACUGGAAAGUGACCUGCAGGACAGCGAGCACACAUCAUGUUCAGGAAACGAUCCCUGCGAAUGAGCAUUGUGUGUUCGCUUUUCC